AUGAACGCUAGCUACAGGCUUAACACAUGCAAGUCGAGGGGCAGCAUUUUAGUUUGCUUGCAAACUGAAGAUGGCGACCGGCGCACGGGUGAGUAACACGUAUCCAACCUGCCGAUAACUCCGGAAUAGCCUUUCGAAAGAAAGAUUAAUACCGGAUAGCAUACGAAUAUCGCAUGAUAUUUUUAUUAAAGAAUUUCGGUUAUCGAUGGGGAUGCGUUCCAUUAGUUUGUUGGCGGGGUAACGGCCCACCAAGACUACGAUGGAUAGGGGUUCUGAGAGGAAGGUCCCCCACAUUGGAACUGAGACACGGUCCAAACUCCUACGGGAGGCAGCAGUGAGGAAUAUUGGUCAAUGGGCGAGAGCCUGAACCAGCCAAGUAGCGUGAAGGAUGAAGGCUCUAUGGGUCGUAAACUUCUUUUAUAUGGGAAUAAAGUUUUCCACGUGUGGAAUUUUGUAUGUACCAUAUGAAUAAGGAUCGGCUAACUCCGUGCCAGCAGCCGCGGUAAUACGGAGGAUCCGAGCGUUAUCCGGAUUUAUUGGGUUUAAAGGGAGCGUAGGUGGAUUGUUAAGUCAGUUGUGAAAGUUUGCGGCUCAACCGUAAAAUUGCAGUUGAAACUGGCAGUCUUGAGUACAGUAGAGGUGGGCGGAAUUCGUGGUGUAGCGGUGAAAUGCUUAGAUAUCACGAAGAACUCCGAUUGCGAAGGCAGCUCACUAGACUGUCACUGACACUGAUGCUCGAAAGUGUGGGUAUCAAACAGGAUUAGAUACCCUGGUAGUCCACACAGUAAACGAUGAAUACUCGCUGUUUGCGAUAUACAGUAAGCGGCCAAGCGAAAGCAUUAAGUAUUCCACCUGGGGAGUACGCCGGCAACGGUGAAACUCAAAGGAAUUGACGGGGGCCCGCACAAGCGGAGGAACAUGUGGUUUAAUUCGAUGAUACGCGAGGAACCUUACCCGGGCUUGAAUUGCAACUGAAUGAUGUGGAGACAUGUCAGCCGCAAGGCAGUUGUGAAGGUGCUGCAUGGUUGUCGUCAGCUCGUGCCGUGAGGUGUCGGCUUAAGUGCCAUAACGAGCGCAACCCUUAUCUUUAGUUACUAACAGGUCAUGCUGAGGACUCUAGAGAGACUGCCGUCGUAAGAUGUGAGGAAGGUGGGGAUGACGUCAAAUCAGCACGGCCCUUACGUCCGGGGCUACACACGUGUUACAAUGGGGGGUACAGAAGGCGGCUACCUGGUGACAGGAUGCUAAUCCCAAAAACCUCUCUCAGUUCGGAUCGAAGUCUGCAACCCGACUUCGUGAAGCUGGAUUCGCUAGUAAUCGCGCAUCAGCCAUGGCGCGGUGAAUACGUUCCCGGGCCUUGUACACACCGCCCGUCAAGCCAUGAAAGCCGGGGGUACCUGAAGUACGUAACCGCAAGGAGCGUCCUAGGGUAAAACUGGUAAUUGGGGCU
rnacentral:rRNA from 1 species